rnacentral:rRNA from 1 species
GUCGACCGCUGGCGGCAGGCCUAACACAUGCAAGUCGAACGAGUGGCGGACGGGUGAGUAAUGCUUGGGAAACUAGCUGAUGGAGGGGGAUAACUACGGGAAACUGUAGCUAAUACCGCAUACCAUAGGAUGAGCCCAAGUGGGAUUAGGUAGUUGGUGGGGUAAAGGCUCACCUAGGCGACGAUCCCUAGCUGGUCUGAGAGGAUGACCAGCCACACUGGGACUGAGACACGGCCCAGACUCCUACGGGAGGCAGCAGUGGGGAAUAUUGCGCAAUGGGCGCAAGCCUGACGCAGCCAUGCCGCGUGAAUGAAGAAGGCCUUCGGGUUGUAAAGUUCUUUCGGUAGCGAGGCGUUACCUACAGAAGAAGCACCGGCUAACUCCGUGCCAGCAGCCGCGGUAAUUC